GCCUGGAUAGUUCAGUGGGUUAGAGUGUGGUGCUGAUGAUGCCAAGGUUGCAGGUUCGAUCCUUGUAUGGGACA
rnacentral:tRNA from 1 species